rnacentral:rRNA from 1 species
AGCUGGGCGGCGUGCCUAAUACAUGCAAGUCGAACGAACUCUGGUAUUGAUUGGUGCUUGCAUCAUGAUUUACAUUUGAGUGAGUGGCGAACUGGUGAGUAACACGUGGGAAACCUGCCCAGAAGCGGGGGAUAACACCUGGAAACAGAUGCUAAUACCGCAUAACAACUUGGACCGCAUGGUCCGAGUUGAAAGAUGGCUUCGGCUAUACUUUUGGAUGGUCCCGCGGCGUAUUAGCUAGAUGGUGGGGUAACGGCUCACCAUGGCAAUGAUACGUAGCCGACCUGAGAGGGUAAUCGGCCACAUUGGGACUGAGACACGGCCCAAACUCCUACGGGAGGCAGCAUAGGGAAUCUUCCACAAUGGACAAAGUCUGAUGGAGCAACGCCCGUGAGUGAAGAAGGGUUUCGCUCGUAAAACUCUGUUGUUAAAGAAGAACAUAUCUGAGAGUAACUGUUCAGGUAUUGACGGUAUUUAACCAGAAAAGCCACGGCUAACUACUGCCAGCAGCCUGGGUAAU